rnacentral:misc_RNA from 1 species
UUUCCGUAGGUGAACCUGCGGAAGGAUCAUUAAUAAAUGGUCUACGUUUUUUAAGUAGACGCUUAAUAAUCCUACCCUUUGUGAAUUUGUUUGUUGAAAUAAUUUUUUUUAAAAUUAUUGAAUGUCUUUCCUGUUGAAUUGGUUGUCUUUAAUGGCAAGUGAUUCGCAGGGGAGUGUCAAUAAUUUUUAAAAAGACCUUUUUAAAAUUAAACUUUUGUAUUCAUUUGUCUAAAAUUAUUUUUAUAAUAUAAAACAACUUUUGACAAUGGAUCUCUUGGUUCUCGCAACGAUGAAGAACGCAGCAAAAUGCGAUAAGUAGUGUGAAUUGCAGAAUACGUGAAUCAUCGAAUCUUCGAACGCAUAUUGCACUUUUUUAGUUUACUAAAAAAGUAUGUCUGUUUGAGUAUCGGUAAAAUAUUCUCAUAAAACUUUUUGUUUUUAUGGUUAUGAGUGUUUUACAACGAUACAAGUUGUUUCACUUUAAAUUUUUUUAAAAUUUGAAUUUUUCUAAUUUUAAAAUAAAAUUGGAUAAAAUUUUCCCGUAAAAAGGAAUAACCUAAACAAUUUUAAUUUUUGAUUAGAAAUCCAAACUAAAAGGAAAAUUUAACUAAAUAACUUGAUCUCAAAUCAGAUAAGAGUACCCGCUGAACUUAAGCAUAUCAAUAAGCGGAGGAAAAGAACUAACAAGGAUUCCCUUAGUAACGGCGAGUGAAGCGGGAAGAGCUCAAAUUUGAAAUCUUCAAGGUUUUACCUUGACGAAUUGUAGUUUAAAGAAGUGUUUUCUGUUGAAGUUUUGGUAAAAGUUCUUUGGAAUAGGACAUCAUAGAGGGUGAGAAUCCGUAUUUGACCAUUAUUUUCAGCUGUGUGAUACACUUUCAAAGGGUCGGAUUGUUUGGGAAUGCAGUCCAAAAUGGGUGGUAAAUUUCAUCUAAAGCUAAAUAUUGGCGAGAGACCGAUAGCGAACAAGUACCGUGAGGGAAAGAUGAAAAGAACUUUGAAAAGAGAGUUAAACAGUACGUGAAAUUGUCAAAAGGGAAGCGUUUGACACCAGUGUUGUUUUCUCGAAAAUCAAUUAAAAAGAGUUGGAUUUUGUGUUGUAUUGACCUUAACAGCUUGCUUCACUCUUUUCCAGCUUUUUUUAAUGCACUUUUCGUUUAACAAGUCAACAUCAGUUUCUUUUGUUGUAAAAGGGUCAUUGGAAGGUGGCUUUCUCUUCGGAGAAAGUGUUUAUAGCCUUUGAUCUCUGCAAUCGGAGAGACUGAGGUCUGCAGCGUAGAUCCUUCGGGGUUAGAUACAUUUAUGCUAAGCUACAGCUUUUCAUAGACAACUUGUUGACUAUGUUUAGUCUUGUGACUUACCCGCUUAUGCUAUUU